GUACCUACGGGGCGCAGCAGUGAGGAAUAUUGGUCAAUGGCCGGAAGGCUGAACCAGCCAAGCCGCGUGAAGGACGAAGGUGCCAAGCAUUGUAAACUUCUUUUGUCAAGGGACAAAAUCAGGCUCGAGAGCCUGACCGAGGGUACUUGAAGAAAAAGCAUCGGCUAACUACGUGCCAGCAGCCGCGGUAAUACGUAGGGGGCAAGCGUUAUCCGGAUUUACUGGGUGUAAAGGGGGCGCAGACGGCGAUGCAAGCCAGGAGGGAAAGCCCGGGGCCCAACCCC
rnacentral:rRNA from 1 species